UCGAGGAUCUUUUGCAAUGCGCGAAAGCGUGACAAAGCGACGCUGCGUGGAGGAUGAAGGCCUUCGGGUCGUAAACUCCUGUCAUCCGGGAAAAACGGUCCCGGGAUUAACACUCCCGGGGUGUGAUGGUACCGGAAGAGGAAGCCACGGCUAACUCUGUGCCAGCAGCCGCGGUAAUACAGAGGUGGCGAGCGUUGUUCGGAUUUACUGGGCGUAAAGCGUGCGUAGGUGGUUACGUGUGUCGGACGUGAAAUACCUCGGCUUAACCGUGGAAUUGCAUCCGAAACUACGAAACUUGAGUACAGGAGGGGAGAGCGGAAUUCUUGGUGUAGCGGUGAAAUGCGUUGAUAUCAAGAAGAACACCGGUGGCGAAGGCGGCUCUCUGGAAUGUUACUGACACUGAGGCACGAAAGCGUGGGGGAGCAAACAGGAUUAGAUACCCUGGUAGUCCCAGCCGUAAACGGUGUGCACUUGGUGUAGGGGAAUUGACCCCCCUGUCGCCGGAGUUAACGCGUUAAGUGC
rnacentral:rRNA from 1 species